CCGGCGCACGGGUGAGUAACACGUAUGGAACCUGCCCUAUGCAGGGGGGAUAAGCGGAAGAAAUUCCGUCUAAUACCGCAUAACACCUUUAGGAGACAUCUUCUUGGGGUCAAAGGAGGCGACUCCGGCAUAGGAUGGCCAUGCGUCGCAUUAGCUAGUCGGCGGGGUAACGGCCCACCGAGGCGACGAUGCGUAGGGGUUCUGAGAGGAAGGUCCCCCACACUGGUACUGAGACACGGACCAGACUCCUACGGAAGGCAGCAG
rnacentral:rRNA from 1 species